rnacentral:tRNA from 1 species
CACUGGAUAGCUCAGAUGGUUAGAGCAUCGGACGGUUAAUCCGAGUGUCGCGGGUUCGACUCCCGCUCCAACGC